rnacentral:rRNA from 1 species
ACCUUUACACUGCGGGAAACCGCGAUAAGGGGACCCCGAGUGCCAGCAUCUAAUGCUGGCUGUCCCGCUGUCCAAACAACAGCGGUUAGCAAGGGCCGGGCAAGACCGGUGCCAGCCGCCGCGGUAACACCGGCGGCCCGAGUGGUAGCCGUUAUUAUUGGGUUUAAAGGGCCCGUAGCCGGCCUAUUAAGUCUCUUGGGAAAUCUGGCGGCUUAAUCGUCAGGCGGCCAAGAGAUACUGGUAGGCUUGGGACCGGGAGAGGUGGGAGGUACUCCAGGGGUAGGGGUGAAAUCUCGUAAUCCUUGGGGGACCACCGAUGGCGAAGGCAUCCCACCAGAACGGGUCCGACGGUGAGGGACGAAAGCUGGGGGCACGAACCGGAUUAGAUACCCGGGUAGUCCCAGCUGUAAACGAUGCUCGCUAGGUGUCAGGUGCGGUGCGACCGCAUCUGGUGCCGCAGUGAAAACUUGAAGCGAGUCACCUGGGAAGUACGGUCGCAAGGCUGAAACUUAA